AGAGUUUGAUCCUGGCUCAGGAUGAACGCUAGCGGCAGGCUUAAUACAUGCAAGUCGAACGGGAUUCGGGGUAGCAAUACUUUGAUGAGAGUGGCGCACGGGUGCGUAACGCGUAUGCAACCUACCUUUAACAGGGGAAUAGCCCCGAGAAAUCGGGAUUAAUACUCCGUAACAUUGCGGUGUGGCAUCACACUGCACUUAAAGCUGAGGCGGUUAAAGAUGGGCAUGCGUGACAUUAGCUAGUUGGUGAGGUAACGGCUCACCAAGGCAACGAUGUCUAGGGGUCCUGAGAGGGUUAUCCCCCACACUGGUACUGAGACACGGACCAGACUCCUACGGGAGGCAGCAGUAAGGAAUAUUGGUCAAUGGGCGCAAGCCUGAACCAGCCAUGCCGCGUGCAGGAAGACGGCCCUAUGGGUUGUAAACUGCUUUUGUCAGGGAAUAAACCCCCGCUCGUGAGCGGGGCUGAAGGUACCUGAAGAAUAAGCAUCGGCUAACUCCGUGCCAGCAGCCGCGGUAAUACGGAGGAUGCAAGCGUUAUCCGGAUUCAUUGGGUUUAAAGGGUGCGCAGGCGGAUUGGUAAGUCAGGGGUGAAAUCCCACAGCUCAACUGUGGAACUGCCUUUGAUACUGUCAGUCUAGAGUAUAGUUGAAGUUGGCGGAAUGUGUCAUGUAGGCGGUGAAAUGCUUAAUAUGACACAGAACACCGAUCGCGAAGGCAGGCU
rnacentral:rRNA from 1 species